GAUGAACGCUAGCGGCAGGCUUAACACAUGCAAGUCGAGGGGCAGCAUAAUGGAUAGCAAUAUCUAUGGUGGCGACCGGCGCACGGGUGCGUAACGCGUAUGCAACCUACCUUUAACAGGGGGAUAACACUGAGAAAUUGGUACUAAUACCGCAUAAUGCAACGGAAUCGCAUGACUCUGUUGCCAAAGAUUUUAUCGCUCUGAGAUGGCCUCGCGUCUGAUUAGCUAGUUGGCGGGGUAACGGCCCACCAAGGCGACGAUCAGUAGCCGGACUGAGAGGUUGGCCGGCCACAUUGGGACUGAGACACGGCCCAG
rnacentral:rRNA from 1 species